rnacentral:rRNA from 1 species
AAUAGAUACCCCGGUAGUCCACGCCGUAAACGAUGAGUGCUAAGUGUUAGAGGGUUUCCGCCCCUUAGUGCUGCAGCUAACGCAUUAAGCACUCCGCCUGGGGAGUACGGUCGCAAGACUGAAACUCAAAGGAAUUGACGGGGGGCCCGCACAAGCGGUGGAGCAUGUGGUUUAAUUCGAAGCAACGCGAAGAACCUUACCAGGUCUUGACAUCCCACUGACCGCUAUGGAGACAUAGUUUUCCCUUCGGGGACAGUGGUGACAGGUGGUGCAUGGUUGUCGUCAGCUCGUGUCGUGAGAUGUUGGGUUAAGUCCCGCAACGAGCGCAACCCUUGAUCUUAGUUGCCAUCAUUUAGUUGGGCACUCUAAGGUGACUGCCGGUGACAAACCGGGAGGAAGGUGGGGAUGACGUCAAAUCAUCAUGCCCCGUUAUGACCUGGGCUACACACGUGCUACAAUGGACGGUACAAACGGUUGCCAACCGCGAGGGGAGCUAAUCCGAUAAAACUCGUUCUCAGUUCGGAUUGUAGGCUGCAACUCGCCUAC